rfam:Rattus norvegicus chromosome 5, whole genome shotgun sequence.
GGGGAUUUAGCUCAGUGGUAGAGCGCUUGCCUAGUCAAGCGCAAGGCCCUGGGUUCGGUCCCCAGCUCCG